rnacentral:rRNA from 1 species
ACGCUCGACACCUACAGGAGGCAGCAGUGGGGAAUAUUGCACAAUGGGGGAAACCCUGAUGCAGCAACGCCGCGUGAAGGAAGACGGUUUUCGGAUUGUAAACUUCUGUUCUUAGUGAAGAUAGUGACGGUAGCUAAGGAGCAAGCCACGGCUAACUACGUGCCAACAGCCGCGGUAAUCUGAGCGGGCUGGCAAGGC